GCACGAUAUGCGCGGAGCCCAGGUCCAGCUCACCCGUUACCCUGGUGAGGAGUUUGGAUGCGGUGGGCAUUUCUCAGGCAAAGAAUGAAUGGAAGCUUCGUAGGUGUCACCCAACGUGUCGUUCUUAAACGACCGAACAAAGACGUCGCGGUAUGUAACGACGGUGGUCGCAGCAGCAGCUGACACUUCACGGGACUUACCUGUGCCAGGGCCUUUCACAUAUUCAUUCUCGCAACAGCCCCGUACCAGUGGGUGCUGUUACUCUCCCAUUCGACGGAUGCGAACACGGCUGCGUGUGAAAGGUUAAGCAGCUUGCAGGGUCACCUCGCUCAGCGGCAGCAGGAUCCGCGUUCAGACCAAGGGAGCGUGGCGUCAGGACCGCCCGUGGACCAGCCCCUUCCAUAUUCCCAUAUGGGGGCUUAGGGAUUUUACUUUUUACUAAAAAAAUGUAUUUAUUCGUGAGACACACACAGAGAGGCAGAGACCCAGGCAGAGGGAGGAGCAGCGUCCUCCGGGGAGCCCGACGCGGGACUCGAUCCCGGGACCCCGGGUCACGCACGCCCUGGGCCGAAGGGAGCCCCCUUGAAAGUGUCUCUUCCUCUGACUUGUGACGCUCGAGCCUGGGGUCUUCGUCGCCCCUCUGGCCUCUGUACGCUUCCCUUGGCCUCGGUCCGCGGCCUUGCUUGCUUCUAGCAGCUUCUCUGCUCUCUGUCCUCCUCCUCGGCCGUCGUAGGUCCGCAGGUCGCCUCCCUCGGGUCCCCGGCCCGGAGCACGCCGACCUGCCGCAGCUCUGCCCCCCUCGGCCGGCCCCUCCCCCUCUCCGUCGCCCCCCCCCCCCCCCACCCGGUCGCCGGCGGCCGCUGAGCACACAAGGCCCUCCCGAGGCCGGCUCAGCCUCUCCGCUGAGAGCCCUUCCGGCCGCGCGUCCCCAGGACGCAGGGCCCUGGAGUCCGGCUUUCGGGGUGCAGAGUCCGUCGGGGGCCGCCCUCGGCCGCGGCCUCUUCGCUCCCGUGACGCCGCCGCCUCAGGGCCGCCUUCCCUGCGGUACCCGGAGGCCUCCCCGCGGCCGCACGCUGCCGCCCAACCCCGGGCGCCCCUGCGUGCGCUGCUGGCGGCCUGCACCCGCCGCCCCCGGGCCGCCACAGCCACUCACGGUUCCGCAGCGCCUCAGGCCCCCACGCCGCUUCUCCCCGGAGGGCCCGGGAGCCCGCGGUCGCGCCUCGCGGCGGGCCCCGCGUCCACGCGGCGCAUUCAUCCCGCGCACGCGCACCGCACCGCGCACGCCGCACGCGCACCACGCACGCACACCACGCACACACAGUGUACGCACACCGCACGCACUCCGCGCACGCACGCACCACGCGCGCACACCACGCACACACUCCGCGCACGCACCACGCACGCACACCGCGCACUCUGCACGCACGCACCACGCACACAGCACGCACACCAUACUCACGCCGCACAGACUUCGCGCACGCGCACACCACGCACACCUCACGUACACCAUACGCACACUGCGCGCACACUACGGACACACAGUGUACGCACACCGCUCGCACUCCGCGCACGCACGCACGCACCACGCACGCACACCGCGCGCACACCACGCACUCUGCACGCACGCCCUGCACACAGCACGCACGCCGUACUCACGCCGCACAGACUCCGCGCACGCGCACACCACGCACACCUCACGCACACCUCACGCACACCGCGCGCACACCACGCACACUCCGCGCUCACACCGCACGCACACACUGUGCACGCACACACCCCCGCACGCACACGGCACACACGCACACUGUGCACUAUUCUGCUACUAUGAAAGUGCAAGCGAACAGGUGCGGGGCGCCCCAGCAGCCCGAGCCUUCCCCGUGACGCGUCCCGGAGCCGGACGGGAGCUGGCCCAGUCCAGUCCCACAUCAUCAUCAUCAUCAUCAUCAUCUGUUUAUUGGAUAACAGUAAGUCCGCUGGCUGUAGUGCAGUUAAUCCCCAGAUAUAUAAAGAAGAAUAAAAUCAGGUCCCUUCCAUCAAAAGGCUUGUGA
rnacentral:lncRNA from 1 species